AUGAGCACAGAGAGACUUAGUGAGAAUCGAUUGCAGUUGCAUUUUCGGCAUUCGACAGCAACGGCAAAAGGGGGAAUUUGUUGAUACAGAUUUUGUGUCUGAUGCUUGUCGAAUAGAUUAGAUUUAUUUUAUGCUGAAUAUGUAAUAGUUAGUGAAAUGGUCAAACGAACGUGUAUUGACCCGCUUGUUUGAAGUGGUCAAACGAGAGGGUUAUUUGUUUGACCGUGUGUGUUUGCAAGUCAAGGGGGUGUAGCUAUAAAUAGCAACCCCUUGCCAUUUGCAACAUUUGGAAGUUUUAGAUGUUUGAGUCCCACAGGGAGAGAUCACCACUUGGUCUCUCCCCGGAUGUGUACUCCUUUGGUAUGGUUCCGUUAGCUUGUUAAUCGGGCCGGUUUGCUUUGUUUUGUUAUCAAAUCUAUACAAGUAAGUAUUUCAUCCGUCUCUAAUCUUCCUGUCUAUGAACAUAAUCAUGAUAAUCACGGUUUCGGUCACGAAAACGGUCCUACAAUUGGUAUCAGAGCUUUGGCUCUAAUCCUUGUUUAAAACCAAACCUAGUUCGGUUUUUAUCAAGCCUGAAACUGAUUGUUUAUGAUUUUCUGAAAAAGUGUUCUUGAAAGUUUAUAUAUUUUCUAAAAAAGUCACUAAAAUCAGUGUUUAUCUUGUUUGUUUUGCCAAAGUUUUGCCAAAAACCUUGUUAGUGUGCAUCAUUACAUAGUAUUACCGGGUUUUUAGUAAAAGUUUUAAGCGAAUUCGGGUUUCAGAAAAUUGUUCGGUGACCGGAAUCUUCAAACCUUCAUCGUGUUUUUCACUAAUAUUCAAAGUGUUCUUCAUUAUUUCAACUUUUUGAUCUUUUGUAAGUUCACUUUAUUAGUUGUUGGUGCUUUUAAAAUCAAAAUGGAAAAGGAAAUUUGAUUAAAAUAAUUUUAAGAUAAAUAUGGUAGGUUGAAUUUUGGUGCAUUGUGUCAGAACAGGAUAAGUUUCUUUGAAAGAUCAAACCAAACUCACCAACUCCCACCCUUAUCCAAAUCAGUUUCGUCAUAAGCAAACAAACCUUUUCAGUUUCGUCGGAAUACUUAUCAGUUUCGUCGCUUACACUUCCAUCUGUUCCGUCGCACAAUAACAUUCCAGUUUCGUCGCUUACACUUCAAUCCGUUUCGUCGAGCAAUUAAUUAAAUCAGUUUGGUCGUUAUCAAACAGAUUUCAAAUCUGUUUCGUCAAUCAAACCGUUUCGUCGGACCUUUCUUAUUUCAUCAAUCAAACAGUUUCGUCGGACCUUUCAGUUUCGUCGACCAAACAGGUCAUCACUUUCGUCGAUUAUCAUUCUUACAUUCAGUUUCGUCAAACUCAAUCAUCAUUCAGUUUCGUCGAACUCAAUCAUCAUUCAGUUUCGUCGAACUAAAUCACUUUCAGUUUCGUCGCACACAAAAACAAAUCAGAGUUUCGUCGUUUAUCUGAUGAGUUUCGUCGUUUAUCUGAUGAGUGUCGUU
rnacentral:lncRNA from 1 species